GUGCAGCAGUCGAGAAUCAUCCGCAAUGCGCGCAAGCGUGACGGUGCGACGCCGCGUGCGGGAGGAAGCCCUUCGGGGUGUAAACCGCUUUUCAGAGGUAUGAAGUGCGCCCGCCGAACAAGCGGGUGGCAUUGACGUCAACUCUGGAAUAAGCCACGGCUAACUUCGUGCCAGCAGUCGCGGUAAUACAGAGGUGGCGAGCGUUGUUCGGAAUUAUUGGGCGUAAAGAGCACGUAGGUGGGUUUGCAAGUCAGAUGUGAAAGCCUUCUGUUCAACGGGAGAAUUGCAUCUGAAACUGCUAAUCUUGAGUGUAGGAGGGGAGAAUGGAACUUCUGGUGGAGCGGUGAAAUGCGUAGAUAUCAGAAGGAACGCCGGCGGCGAAAGCGAUUCUCUGGCCUAUUACUGACACUCAGUGUGCGAAAGCUAGGGGAGCAAACGGGAUUAGAUACCCGCGUAGUCC
rnacentral:rRNA from 1 species